rnacentral:rRNA from 1 species
GAUGAACGCUAGCUACAGGCUUAACACAUGCAAGUCGAGGGGCAGCAUUGAGAUAGCUUGCUAUUUCAGAUGGCGACCGGCGCACGGGUGAGUAACGCGUAUCCAACCUUCCCCUUAGUAGGGGAUAGCCCGGCGAAAGUCGGAUUAAUACCCUAUGUUGUUCGUCGAGGACAUCUGAAGUGAACCAAAGAUUUAUCGCUAAGGGAUGGGGAUGCGUCUGAUUAGGUUGCAGGCGGGGUAACGGCCCACCUGGCCUACGAUCAGUAGGGGUUCUGAGAGGAAGGUCCCCCACAUUGGAACUGAGACACGGUCCAAACUCC